CCACAAUGCUGACACUAGUAAUUACAUAAAUUUACAUUAUGUUAACACAUCAUGUAAAUUUAUGUAAUUACUAGUGUCAGCAUUGUGGAUAGGGUU